CAUCAAUGUUGCAGGAGGAAGUGGAGCCCAAUCAGUGACCCAGCCUGACCGCCACGUCCUGGUCUCUGAAGGAGCCCCUCUGCAGCUGAGGUGCAGCUACUCAUCUUCUGUUCCUCCCUCUCUCUUCUGGUACCAGCAACGCCCCAGCCAAGGCCUCCAGCUCCUCCUGAAGUACGUGUCAGGGGCCACCCUGGUGAUAGGCAUCAAUGGUUUCCAGGCUGAACUUAGGAAGAAUGAAACUUCCUUCCACUUGAGGAAGCCCUCAGCCCAUUGGAGCGACUCGGCUGAGUACUUCUGUGUUCUGGGUGACAGAGUGUCUGGGGCUACAGGGGGAGCUGAGCACAAACCUCCUGACACAAGGGACUUUCUGUGA